rnacentral:rRNA from 1 species
UACGGAGGAUGCAAGCGUUAUCCGGAAUGAUUGGGCGUAAAGCGUCCGCAGGUGGCUAUGUAAGUCUGCUGUUAAAGAGUGAGGCUCAACCUCAUAAAAGCAGUGGAAACUACAUGGCUAGAGUGCGUUCGGGGCAGAGGGAAUUCCUGGUGUAGCGGUGAAAUGCGUAGAGAUCAGGAAGAACACCGGUGGCGAAAGCGCUCUGCUAGGCUGCAACUGACACUGAGGGACGAAAGCUAGGGGAGCGAAUGGG